GGCGGGCGGCGGGCGGCGGCGGUGGUGGAGUUCGCGUCCUCUUCAUGGCCAGAACCAGAUUGGUCGCGGUAAAAAUUGAGAUAUUCAGUAUUUACGAUAUAACCUUGGGGCACAUUCAACUUCCUCAAAGCUGUCAAAAAGUUGGUGUAUCCGACAGCGUGUGCAGUCUUGCGGGGGCGCACACAAUCUGAAACCAAGUCCACUAUGUUUGCUUGAGGGAUUUUCACUCCGUCUACACGUAGAGCACCACUUUCGUCCCACUUGAUAAAAUUUUGCACGCGUGGCUCCGCGAGGAAGUCACAGAACGCACUGGCGAGAUCUUUCGAUUUCGUUGGAACUAAACUCAAAAUCCGCCUCUUGACGACCUCCAUAUUGUUUUCCGACUGUCCUUCUUCUACUUUCUCGCUCGAACUUUCGCUGAGGAUGGAGAUGGGCUUCUUUUGCUCGUUCACAAAGUGUAGAUACCGCUGUAGCGUUUCUUCGUACAAACGCCAUUUAUCGCUGUCUGCCGCUCUUUGAGAUAAUAUUUUUGCCAUGUCCGUGUCCAGCUCGGAUGCGGCCUCGCCGCUGGUGCGCCCGAUCGGAGGAUCUUGAAGUCUCGCCAGGCUCUCGUGCGGUAUAAGCACGAGCUUCUUCGUGUGCUCGAGUUGAUUCAUGGUUGCGACGCUCAGCUUCCGAAAAUUAAUUUACCGAUGGCAGGGCCAAUGAUACUCAAAAGUAGGGGGAUGAAAGGCCCCGCACCUCCACGUUGUACUAUGAGCUGUUUCUUCUUUUUCCAAGACUCGCCGCGCCGCGCGAUGUUUCUUAACAGAUGUUUAUACUUUGACAAUUUUUGCUUUUCUGAGGGCGAUAGACGAAUAUUACCGGCGAGGGUGUUGUCACACAACUCGCACAGAAGCAUGUGUACGUCGAGGCAUCUUCACCGCUCGAGAGACGACGAAAGAAUGAUCUCAUUUAUGAAUAAGAUCGCUCUUAUACUUCCCUUUCGGCACGUACACGACCGUCGGCUCAUUCGGGAGGAUGGCCGUCCGUAACCUCAAAUGUUCCGCUUGGGUCACGUGGAAAUCGAACAGAAGGUUAUACCGUCUGCGCGAGAGUGUUUGUGCCAGUGUUCUUCCCUCCCCCUCCCCACAGCAGAAGUAGUGACGAGUUUCGUGAGAACGCCGCCAGAGGUCAGCACAAUGCAGAGGCUGGUAUGAGGAGAUGAGAGGGCGAGAAAUUUCAAACGAUGUCAAUACAGAGGUGAUUUCACAUCGUAUCCAUUGCGUUCUCUGCUAAAAUCUCAUCCAUAGCCAAGCAACAAUCAUAGUCGUCGCUAUCGAGGAGCUGACCUUUAAAACCGUACGGAACAGUUUUAUUUUCUACACGUCGUCUCUUCGUAAGGCACACACGCCAAGUCUUAUGCGACGGUCUCGUAAUGAUACGAAAUCGAGGCAUUCUGGUGAUCUGAGCAGAGCAAAAGUGGGUGCAAAAGCUGCCUUCACCAUAGUCCUCUUGCAACUGAUCCGUCAAGUCACCAAGGAAAUUUCCCAACUUCGGCUGUGGAAGGUUUUUUCUUGAGAUGAAACAAAUGGAAUCUGCAAAUCGACACAACAACAAGAGGUAUUCCAGUAGGCAGAGACGGCCAUGCAUCGUUGUGAAACAAGCUGAAAUAAGGCUGGUAGUCGGAUAACUCUCAUCCAUAUCUUCGUGAUCAUUGUAUUUCACUUGGAGAACCUCGUCACCAAAGGGAGUGAGAGAUGUGAUUGAAAUCGUUGAAUCUUCCGUCAACCUGGCCAAUUCAGAAUAGUUCUUGACAAAUUUUGUUUGUGGCCGUUGAGUCUUCUCUCCUAGUUUUCCCCC